GUCGUGGUAGCCGUUCUCCAUGGUCUGCAUCUCCUCGGUCAGGCGCUGCUAUGAGGAAAGAAAACCAUAAACCCCACUGAACAACACCUUGGCCAUGCUAGCUAAAUCCUCAGGAACAGCAGCUGGGACCAGUGCAAACCUCGGUGCCCCAGGGUGUGGGAAUGGCCAGUCCUUGCAGGUGGAUGCUACACUAAAAUCACCUAUGAUUUCUUCCCGAGAUGAAAAUCACA